rnacentral:misc_RNA from 1 species
UACGGGGCGCAGCAGUGGGGAAUUUUGGACAAUGGAAACCUGAUCCAGCCAUCCCGCGUGUGCAGUAGAAGGCCUUCGGGUUGUAAACACUUUUGGCGGGAAAAAGCAGCGCGCAGGAUAAUACCCGAUGCAUGCAACUGACAGUUACCUGCAGAAUAGCACAGGCUUCAACUAUACGUGCAGCAGCCGCGAUAAUACGUAAGUGCAAGCGUUAAUCAAGAUUACUGGGCGUAAAGCGUGCGCAGGCGGUUCGGAAGAAAGAUGUGAAAUCCCAGAGCUUAACUUUGGAACUGCAUUUUUAACUACAAAUAGAAGUGUGUCAGAGGAGGUGGAAUUCCGCGUGUAGCAGUGAAAUGCGUAGAUAUGCGGAGGAACACCGAUGGCGAAGGCAGCCUCCUGGGAUAUUUGCUGCGAACUCAUGCACAGCGUGAAACGAGCAGGAUUAGAUACCCUCGUAG